UCGGGGGUGGUGUAAUCGGCAACACGGCAGAUUCUGGUUCUGUAAUUGAGGGUUCAAUUCCUUCCCCCCGAG
rnacentral:tRNA from 1 species